rnacentral:lncRNA from 1 species
AUGGACCCCCCGUGUUGGGACUGUGGGACCAGAACCGACACAACCAGAACCGGGACCAGAACCGGCACCAAUGGGACCAGAACCGGGACUGGAACCGGCACCAAUGGGACCAGAACCGGGACUGGAACCGGGACUGGAACCGAGACUGGAACCAGCACCAAUGGGACCAGAACCGGGACUGGAACCAGCACCAAUGGGACCAGAACCGGGACUGGAACCGGGACCGGGACCAGCACCAAUGGGACCAGAACCGGCACCGAUGGGACCAGAACCGGGACCAGAACCGGGACUGGAACUGAGACUGGAACCAGCACCAAUGGGACCAGAACCGGGACUGGAACCGGGACCGGAACCAGCACCGGGACCUGGACCAGAACCGGGACCAAAACCGGGACCGGAACCGGGACUGGAACUGGGACCACUGGGACCAGAACUGGAACCGGGACCGGGACCAAAACUGGGACCAGAACCGGCACCAAUGGGACCAGAACCGGGACCGGAACCGGGACUGGAACCAGCACCGGGACCUGGACCAGAACCGGGACCAGAACCGAGACCAGAACCGGGACCAUUGGGACCAGAACCGGGACCAGAACCGGGACUGGAGCCAGCACCAGAACCGAGACCAGAACCGGGACCACCAGUACCAGGACCUGGACCAGAACCGGGACCAGAACCGGGAUCAGAAGCUCCAUCUCUGCCCUGUUGCUGCUGCUGCUGCUGCCCCACAUGGAUGCGCUGCCAUGGGGAGAGGACCCCUCAGCGUCGCUCAGGAUUGACGUCACCCGGUGAGUUGGGCCCCAAAUUAUCCUAAAAUGGCCCCCAAAAUGACCCAAUAUCCCUAAAAUGGCCCCAAAAUGGCCCCCCUGACCCCAUUGUCCUAUUGACCCCCAUUGUUCCCCCCCAGCCCCCCCCCUGGGUCUCCAUUCUGCUCGAUGGGACAACCGGCCUGGCUCACGUUGUGGUGAGUGACACCGCUGGUUGGGGCCUAUGGGGCCCCUAUGGGGUCUGUGGGGUCUUCUAUGGGUCCCUAUGGGUCCCUAUGUGUCUCUAUGGGUGCCCUAUGUGUCCCUCAUGAGUCUCUAUGUCAGUCCUAUGGCGCCUGUCCCUAUGGGUCUCUUAUGGGUCCCUAUGCGUCUCU